GAGUCAUUAGUAUAACGGUAGUAUGGAAGAUUCGGGUAAGUCAAGCAUGGGUUCAACUCCCAUAUGGUCCC
rnacentral:tRNA from 1 species